GGCCCCUUGGCGAAAUGGCAGACGCGAAGCACUCAAAAUGCUUUUCCCUCCGGGAGUCUCGGUUCGAGUCCGAGAGGGGCUACCA
rnacentral:tRNA from 1 species